CGUACACUCCUACGGGAGGCAGCAGUGGGGAAUAUUGCACAAUGGGCGCAAGCCUGAUGCAGCGACGCCGCGUGGGGGAUGAAGGCCUUCGGGUUGUAAACUCCUUUCGCUAGGGACGAAGCUUUUUUGUGACGGUACCUAGAUAAGAAGCACCGGCUAACUACGUGCCAGCAGCCGCGGUAAUACGUAGGGUGCGAGCGUUGUCCGGAAUUACUGGGCGUAAAGGGCUCGUAGGUGGUUUGUCGCGUCGUCUGUGAAAUUCUGGGGCUUAACUCCGGGCGUGCAGGCGAUACGGGCAUAACUUGAGUGCUGUAGGGGUAACUGGAAUUCCUGGUGUAGCGGUGAAAUGCGCAGAUAUCAGUAGGAACACCGAUGGCGAAGGCAGGUUACUGGGCAGUUACUGACGCUGAGGAGCGAAAGCAUGGGUAGCGAACAGGAUUAGAAACCCUGGUAGUCCCA
rnacentral:rRNA from 1 species